UACGUAGGGUGCAAGCGUUAAUCGGAAUUACUGGGCGUAAAGCGUGCGCAGGCGGUUUUGUAAGUUUGUCGUGAAAGCCCCGGGCUCAACCUGGGAAUGGCGAUGAAGACUGCAAGGCUUGAAUCUGGCAGAGGGGGGUAGAAUUCCACGUGUAGCAGUGAAAUGCGUAGAGAUGUGGAGGAACACCGAUGGCGAAGGCAGGUCUCUGGGCUGACACUGACGCUCAUGCACGAAAGCGUGGGGAGCAAACAGG
rnacentral:rRNA from 1 species